ensembl:lncRNA
AAGCCUUUGUGGGCUGGAACUAGCCGGACUGAGAGGUAUCGUUGAUACCUUUUUCAUUGGCCGCUAUGUCCUGCUGGCUUUCCUCACUGCUGUCUUCUUGGGGAGCCUCUUCUUGGUUCUAGUCCAUCACAUCCUGGAGCCAGUCUAUGCCAAACCACUUCGGUCCUACUGAGCAACACUCAAGAAGACCAAGACCUUUCCUCCCCUCGCUUUGAUAUCAUCAGUGAGCAGAAAGGUACUGUUGGAACGUUGUCUUGACAGCAUUCAUGCUUAAGAUCAGAGGAACAUCUAUUCAUCACUCAGACAAACCCCUUGAGUCCUGGCUUCCAGAAACAUGGUUGCAGAAUUGUCCCUGGGAUCCUAGGAGAAAUAUUGCUGUCUUCUUAACACCUGCACUUCAGGUUUUCCAUCUCUUUUGAGAGGGAAAUGGCAACAGUGUCUGCUUAGAUUUCAAUCAGGCCAUCAGCAUGUGGAUUUUGGGAAAAGGAGCACUUUGGUUUCUGCUGUCCAAUAGAAGAACCUGGUCCUUUUUGAUAAUAUGUAAAAUUCUUAGUUAAAAGGUCAAGAUCACUUGGAAAAGAAAGGCAUUCAAAGUUGAAAAGUUCAUUUUAAAGGGAUGACCUGGGAACACAUCCAGGUGCUGGAUAUGGAGCUCUCUGUGCAGACCAUGCCUCAGGGCUCUGCAAAGGCCAUGUGUCACCUCUCACUGUUCCAGGAAAGCCAUCAACAGUGGCCGAAGGACUGCUUUUCACCUCAGACUCCUGGCCGCAGCUUUCUGAAUUUAGCAUUUCGAGUUUACUUGGGGAUUAGAAGCAGGGUGUGGAAAUGUCCCUUGUCUGUCCUACCGCUCUGUCUCUCUGGAUUCUUUUUUUCCUAGGAUUGAGUGACCUUUGUUGCCUUAUUUAGUUACCAUAACAGUCCAUUCUGGGUUAUUGUCAUCUCUUUCAUCGUUGUAGCUCUUUCUCCAAAGCCAGUGAGGAAUGUAUAUUCCCGGGAUUAGGCAUAACUUUAUACCUAAACCCCAGACCAAGUGAAAUCUGUCAUUAAACAGAGGGGCUCUCGGCUGCUUCCACUUUGGAAGUCUCAUUGUGGCUCCCUAGAGCUAUUUGAAAAAGGAGAUUCUGGCUUAAAAUUAAGAACCAGAAAACAAUUGGAAAAAGAAUUUUGAUUGAGUACAUGCUAUAUGCCAGUAGUACACUAGUCUGGGUUUGUUUGUUUGGUUGGUUGUUGUUGUUGUUUUUUACACAGAUGUAGAUGACGGACUUCCAUGUUAAGGGCAAAAACGUACUUUGUACAAAGUGUAUUUUAGCUCGGCCUGCCUUCUGUAGCUCCUGUAACUACCAGCAGUGGUGAACUGAAUACUAGAUCAAUUUCUACCUUCAUACUCAAAACAGUCAUGUCCAACCCUGGGGGAAAAAAAAGCAAACCCACAGAGUUGGGAUAAGAAUAAAAGGCUGGGAGGGCACAAAGUUAAUUUUACUGAGUUCUGCAUGGGGCACCCUGAUAAUCAAUAGAUAAUAUUGGCACCCUUUUGUUCAUGGCCUUCCUGGAGGUAGAGCUUAAAUACAAAUAGAUCGUCUCAGUUUCCAUUCAUUGGUCUUUGAUCAAUGCCCCUAGAGCUAGUUGUGCUCCCCAGAAGGGAUCCUGUGGCAAAGAGAUGUAGUGAUCCCACAGGGGAAGGGAGAGUAAAUCUGGGCCUCCAUAUAAGAAAACAGGUAGGAGUUCCUGUCAUGGGUCAGUGGAAGCGAAUCUGACUAGCAUCCAUGAGGAUGCAUGUUCGAUCCCAGGCCUUACUCAGUGGGUUAAGGAUCUGGCACUGUGGUGAGCUGUGGUCUAGGUCGGCAGCUGUAGUUCCAAUUCAACACCUAGCCUGGGACCUUCCAUAUGCUGCCCUUAAAAAAAAAAAAGAAAGAACGAAAGAAAGAAAACAGGUAAUUUCAUUGCCUCUUAAAAUUGUAUCCUGACAAAACCAAAUCAGCAAGGCGCCACCCCCACCACGGAGACAUUCGUCUGAUCCGCUAGGUGGCGCUGUGCUGCAUUUUAGAAGGCCCUCGGGCCAGCCAAACAACGCUAGGUUCUUUUUUAACAAGUUCCUUCUAGCUCUCAUAAAAUAGAAGUAAAGCUAACGUUCUUUACUGAUGCACGAUAUCGGACAUCUAAAAAUUCUCCAAAGUUUUUGUACAAUGUUCAGUUACUAGGGAAUGCACUGCCCGUCCUCCACGUGCAUAGAGCAGGCAUUACCAUUCAUUCCGCCUUUACUGUGUUUACUCUGGAUGUGAAGCCUCGUCCUGGUGCUGUAAAUCACCCCAAGAAGGAGGCUCUGAGGCUCCUAGGCUGUUUCCCUCACUCCAUCCUGGGAUGAAAAUGUUUUUAAUUCUAACAUAAUCCAUUUCUUGUUCUGUUCUCUAAGACAUAAACUUUUCUAUCAACUGUGUCUCUUGCUGCUGCUGCAGUUGAAACAGUUUUAUUUUGCUCUGAUUUUUAUUUGUGUGUAAAGAAACCUGCUGCAGUUAUUUCGUAGAUGAGAAACAGGCAGAGAGAUAAAGAGAUUUUAAAAGUUUCACAGCUAGUUAGGUAGUGGGGCUCAAAUUUGACAAUGGGAUCUUGUCACCUCAUUUCUCAGGUAGUUUAAAGAGCAGUUUUGGCUUUCAAACAACUCCUUAGUUUUACAUUGGGUAAUACUAUUUCUUAGCUAUUUGCACCCACCAUUCCCCUGACCCAUAUCCAAAAAAA